rnacentral:rRNA from 1 species
AUUGAACGCUGGCGGCAUGCCUUACACAUGCAAGUCGAACGGCAGCGCGGGGCAACCUGGCGGCGAGUGGCGAACGGGUGAGUAAUAUAUCGGAACGUGCCCAGUCGUGGGGGAUAACGUAGCGAAAGCUACGCUAAUACCGCAUACGAUCUACGGAUGAAAGCGGGGGAUCGCAAGACCUCGCGCGAUUGGAGCGGCCGAUAUCAGAUUAGGUAGUUGGUGAGGUAAAGGCUCACCAAGCCGACGAUCUGUAGCUGGUCUGAGAGGACGACCAGCCACACUGGGACUGAGACACGGCCCAGACUCCUACGGGAGGCAGCAGUGGGGGAAUAUUGGACAAUGGGCGAAAGCCUGAUCCAGCAAUGCCGCGUGAGUGAUGAAGGCCUUCGGGUUGGUU